GCGUGUGUGAAGAAGGCCUUCGGGUUGUAAAGCACUUUCAGUCGUGAGGAAGGCGGUGUAGUUAAUAGCUGCAUCGUUUGACGUUAGCGACAGAAGAAGCACCGGCUAACUCCGUGCCAGCAGCCGCGGUAAUACGGAGGGUGCGAGCGUUAAUCGGAAUUACUGGGCGUAAAGCGCAUGCAGGUGGUUUGUUAAGUCAGAUGUGAAAGCCCGGGGCUCAACCUCGGAAUUGCAUUUGAAACUGGCAGACUAGAGUACUGUAGAGGGGGGUAGAAUUUCAGGUGUAGCGGUGAAAUGCGUAGAGAUCUGAAGGAAUACCGGUGGCGAAGGCGGCCCCCUGGACAGAUACUGACACUCAGAUGCGAAAGCGUGGGGAGCAAACAGGAUUAGAUACCCUGGUAGUCCACGCCGUAAACGAUGUCUACUUGGAGGUUGUGGCCUUGAGCCGUGGCUUUCGGAGCUAACGCGUUAAGUAGACCGCCUGGGGAGUACGGUCGCAAGAUUAAAACUCAAAUGAAUUGACGGGGGCCCGCACAAGCGGUGGAGCAUGUGGUUUAAUUCGAUGCAACGCGAAGAACCUUACCUACUCUUGACAUCCAGAGAACUUUCCAGAGAUGGAUUGGUGCCUUCGGGAACUCUGAGACAGGUGCUGCAUGGCUGUCGUCAGCUCGUGUUGUGAAAUGUUGGGUUAAGUCCCGCAACGAGCGCAACCCUUAUCCUUGUUUGCCAGCGAGUAAUGUCGGGAACUCCAGGGAGACUGCCGGUGAUAAACCGGAGGAAGGUGGGGACGACGUCAAGUCAUCAUGGCCCUUACGAGUAGGGCUACACACGUGCUACAAUGGCGCAUACAGAGGGCGGCCAACUUGCGAAAGUGAGCGAAUCCCAAAAAGUGCGUCGUAGUCCGGAUUGGAGUCUGCAACUCGACUCCAUGAAGUCGGAAUCGCUAGUAAUCGUGGAUCAGAAUGCCACGGUGAAUACGUUCCCGGGCCUUGUACACACCGCCCGUCACACCAUGGGAG
rnacentral:rRNA from 1 species